AAUGGGCGCAAGCCUGAUCUAGCCAUACCGCGUGAGUGACGAAGGCCUUAGGAUCGUAAAGCUCUUUCGCCAGGGAAGAUAAUGACAGUACCUGGUAAAGAAGUCCCGGCUAACUCCGUGCCAGCAGCCGCGGUAAUACGGAGGGGACUAGCGUUGUUCGGAAUUACUGGGCGUAAAGCGCACGUAGGCGGAUUUGUCAGUUGGGGGUGAAAUCCCGGGGCUCAACCCCGGAACUGCCUCCAAUACUGCAAGUCUAGAGAUCGAGAGAGGUGAGUGGAAUUCCGAGUGUAGAGGUGAAAUUCGUAGAUAUUCGGAGGAACACCAGUGGCGAAGGCGGCUCACUGGCUCGAUACUGACGCUGAGGUGCGAAAGCGUGGGGAGCAAACAGGAUU
rnacentral:rRNA from 1 species